GGGCCUAUAGCUCAACGGUUAGAGCUGGCGGCUCAUAACCGCUUGGUUCCAGGUUCGAAUCCUGGUGGGCCCA
rnacentral:tRNA from 1 species